rnacentral:rRNA from 1 species
AUCCUGGCUCAGAGGCGAACGUUAGCGGCAGGCUUAACACAUGCAAGUCGAGCGAGAAAGGGGUUUCGGCCCCAAGUAAAGCGGCGGACGGGUGCGUAACACGUGGAUAAUCUGCCUCGUGGCGGGGGAUAACAGCCCGAAAGGACUGCUAAUACCGCAUGUCACGAUGAAAGGUCUCGGGCCUUCAUCGAAAAAGAGGGCGCCGCAAGGGCUCUCACCACGAGAUGAGUCCGCGUCCCAUCAGCUAGUUGGCGGUGUAAUGGACCACCAAGGCUUAGACGGGUAGCUGGUCUGAGAGGAUGGCCAGCCACACUGGGACUGAGACACGGCCCAGACUCCUACGGGAGGCAGCAGUGGGGAAUAUUGGAACAAUGGGCGAAAGCCUGAUCCAGCCAUGCCGCGUGAGUGAUGAAGGUCUUCGGAUCGUAAAGCUCUGUGGGAAGGGACGAAAAAGCGU